UGAGGAUGGCACAGGAUCAAGCAGUGUUUCGUUCUGUUGUACAGAAGCUUGCAGCCGGAGACGCACACAUUGCAUUCAGGAUGGAAUGUUUGCUCCUCGACUUGUCUGCCUGAUUUAAAUAUUCAUACUUCACCAGAAGGAAAAAGCUGCUGACUUCUAAAAGUGGGUCAGUUUUUUUUUUUUUUUUUUAAUGGCCCUUUUGGCACUUCAUAACGUGUUAAUACUGCCUCAGAGAUGGGGAGUAGUUUGGCAGAGCUCUUCUUUAUCACUUCAGGGGCCAAGGCUUCACUAGGCCAAUGGAAGGAGAGAACAUUGCAGAUAUUAAUACUAAUAUGGGCUCUAUUUGCCUUUCUGUUUGCUCUUCUGGAUGUAGUAUGUUAACUGGGAAGGAUUAAUUUGAGAAAAACCUUUUUAUGUGUAUGAAUGAUAAAGGCGAUGAUGUAAGUAAACAGCAGUCGCCUGUGUCUUUAGAUGCAUAGCAUUUCAGAAGAAAUUCCACAAUUGCAUAAAUUUGUUCUAUUUUUCUAUUUGGAUAUGAUAACUUUUGAAAGGAGUCUUUGAAUAGGAUGGGGUCACUGUUAAGUUGUGAAUCUUAUUCUCAUAUUGUUUAAAUCAGCUUAAUGAUUAUUUAAAGUAUACUUUGUAUUGAUUGAGUUCCUUACAUCUAAGACACCCAAGGGGCAUUUUAAACAUGAAUGUCAUUUUUUUAUCCUCCUGAAAUUAAAAUUUAAAAUACCUUUUGUGGAAAGGAGUUGUUGGAUGGUAGGAUGAGAAAGGGAGGGUUAGAGUAAUAAGAGGUACUAGAAAGGAGAGAGAUCUUCUGGAGAUCUGUAUUACCAUGUUUCUGUCAUAAGACAUAGGUGAGAUUGAGAGAUUUCAGGUUAUUUGUCCAAGAGAACUAUUAUACAUUGCACUUAUCUCUUUCCUCAGUUCCUAAAGGUUUGCAGAAAUGACUCAGUAGCUUUCAAAUCACUUACAGUGUGUCCAUGGCUUGUCCUGUACCUUAGCUUAGGCCAGCUGGAGAGGUGAUGGACCCCUUCAGAGUUGCACUGCACACCCAGAUUGAUACGGCUUCUUCUGGGAUCUUCUUGAACAUUGUCAAAUAUUAGCACCUGCUUUAAAAUG